UACGAAGGGGGCUAGCGUUGCUCGGAAUCACUGGGCGUAAAGGGCGCGUAGGCGGAUCUUUAAGUCAGGGGUGAAAUCCCAAGGCUCAACCUUGGAAUUGCCUUUGAUACUGAGGAUCUCGAGACCGGAAGAGGUAAGUGGAACUGCGAGUGUAGAGGUGAAAUUCGUAGAUAUUCGCAAGAACACCAGUGGCGAAGGCGGGUUGCUGGGCUGACACCGACGCUGAGGCGCGAAAGCUAGGGGAGCGAACGGG
rnacentral:rRNA from 1 species